rnacentral:ncRNA from 1 species
AUGGUGUCUCCCGCAGCUGGUUCGACCGCUCCCCCGAGGACCGGUCGAGGCAAGAGGGAACCCGGUGUGAAUCCGGGACUGCCCCGCAGCGGUGAGUGGGAACGACCGCCGUCACCACGCACUGGGCCCCGACGGGCCUGGGAAGCGACGGCCAGUAGGCGACCGGCGACCCCGGUCCCGCCCACGAGUCCGAAGACCUGCCAGCGCGCCGUCCGCGUG